UACGUAGGGGGCAAGCGUUGUCCGGAAUCAUUGGGCGUAAAGAGCGCGUAGGCGGUCCGAUAAGUCGGCUGUGAAAGUCAGGGGCUCAACCCUUGAAAGCCGGCCGAUACUGUCGGACUAGAGUCCGGAAGAGGCAAGUGGAAUUCCCGGUGUGAGCGGUGAAAUGCGCAGAUAUCGGGAGGAACACCAAUGGCGAAGGCAGCUUGCUGGGACGGUACUGACGCUGAGGCGCGAAAGCGUGGG
rnacentral:rRNA from 1 species